rnacentral:tRNA from 1 species
GGAGGUAUAGCAAAGUGGUAAAGCACAUGCGUGGCAUGCACAAGGCCCUGGGAUUGAUCCCUAGCACCUCCA